UACGUAGGGACCGAGCGUUGUCCGGAUUUAUUGGGCGUAAAGCGCGUGUAGGCGGCUGGGUAGGUCCGCUGUGAAAACUCGAGGCUCAACCUCGAGACGUCGGCGGAAACCAUCCAGCUAGAGUCCGGAAGAGGAGAGUGGAAUUCCUGGUGUAGCGGUGAAAUGCGCAGAUAUCAGGAAGAACACCCGUGGCGAAAGCGGCUCUCUGGGACGGUACUGACGCUGAGACGCGAAAGCGUGGGGAGCGAACAGG
rnacentral:rRNA from 1 species